GGGUCAGUAGGUUGGUCGUGCCACCGGUACGUACUGGUCUCACCGAUUCCUCCUUCCUGAAGAACCGUAAUGCCAUUAAUUUGGUGUUGCGGGGAAACAGGACUGCUACUUUGAAAAAAUUAGAGUGUUUAAAGCAAGCUAACGCUUGAAUACAUUAGCAUGGAAUAAUGAAAUAGGACGAUCGAUCCUAUUUUGUUGGUUUCUAGGAUUGACGUA
rnacentral:rRNA from 1 species